rnacentral:misc_RNA from 1 species
GAUGAAGAACGCAGCGAAAUGCGAUAACUAAUGUGAAUUGCAGAAUUCAGUGAAUCAUCGAGUCUUUGAACGCACAUUGCGCCCCCUGGUAUUCCGGGGGGCAUGCCUGUCCGAGCGUCAUUGCUGCCCUCAAGCACGGCUUGUGUGUUGGGCUCCGUCCCCCCGGGGACGGGCCCGAAAGGCAGCGGCGGCACCGAGUCCGGUCCUCGAGCGUAUGGGGCUUUGUCACCCGCUCUGUAGGCCCGGCCGGCGCCAGCCGACAACCCAUCAUCCUUUUCAGGUUGACCUCGGAUCAGGUAGGGAUACCCGCUGAACUUAAGCAUAUCAAUAAGCGGAGGA